UGGUUUAGCUUGGGUCUGCAUGUUCAGACUGAUGUGGCUGAGUCUGGACUACUGACUGUUGAAAUCCCGUCUUUGACCUUGCAUGAUUUGAGUAGAAGUUGGCAGAAAUCUUGCAGGAGUAAUUUCUGCCUCAUAGAGGAUCCUGUCAGCACGGGAUGAGAUUUGCUAAGGCAGGACUCUGGUUUGGUCAUGCUGGAAUCAGCUCUGUGUUUCUACUGAAUCAAAGUCUGCAUAAAUUAAAACCAAAGCAUGGUACUUCAUUCAGAGACUUUAAAUCCAACCUGUUCAUCCUGUAUUUUCAAGAGGUUCACAACUGAGGGUUGGAUAUCAGGAAACUUUCAUUGAGGGAGUGACUCUUUAAAGAGUUGCAAAAGGUCUAGAAACCAGAGUUCUUUAUUCACAAGCCAUGCACAGUGCAGACAGCAGCAAUUGCAGCAAUCCUUUUCCCCAGGAACUGCAAACAAGCUUAACCCUGAGCUGGAAAGCCGUGCUCUGGAGAGGUGAAAGGAAAUUCAAUAUCUGAGCUGAAUGUGUUCUGACUUCCUUGGAAGACAAGAGUGCCAAUUGUACAAAGUUAUGAUGAUGAUGAUGAUGAUGUGAUGAGGACCCAAGGUUCACUGAGGCCUCCAUCAGCCAGGGACAUGCAUGGAGGACUCCAAGAUCAGCAGUCCCAUGGGGUGGGGGACAUGGGGUCGGCAGUAGGCCUGUGUUAUUCUUAUCCCUACUGCACUUGGAUGCCUUGGACAGCUUCAAGGCAAAUUCUUCCAUGUCUUCUGCUACAAGAGCUGCUCACUGAUCUUGGGGUUUGUGGAUGAGGAGCAGAAUCCAUUGCUCUGUACACAGGAGAGAAAGCACUGAUCAUUGACUGAGGCUUUCCUGUCUUUAGCACCUGCUGGGAGAUGUAACACCUUUUGAAUCUCAGAAAAUGACACUUGAUUGAAUUAUCUUUCAUUUCUGGAUAAAGUUAUUUUCUCCUUUCACACAGCUCUUGUUCUUUUAGAUUGAUUUAAUCACAGAUUAGAUCCAUUUGAAAUAUAUGGGUUUGAGAGACCUCCUGGACAACCAUCAGACCACACCCAACAGAUUUGUCUGUAUUUUGCUGGCAAAAGUUUAAACUGCAAGGAGAACCUAAUGGGAAUGUUAGGAGUUGCAGUUUUAAAAACUGAGCUCUCUCUGAACACAAUCUCUUUGAACGUGAGAGAAAUUAGUUCUGUUUCAUCAAGG
rnacentral:lncRNA from 1 species